rnacentral:rRNA from 1 species
UACAUGGGGUGCAAACGUUGCUCGGAAUUGUUGGCGUAAAGCGCACGUAGGCGGUUCGUUAAGUCAGAUGUGAAAGCCCUCGGCUCAACCGAGGAAGUGCAUCUGAAAACUGGCGAUGCUAGAGUACUAAAGAGGGUCGCGGAAUUCCCGGUGUAGAGGUAGAAAUUCGUAGGAUAUCGGGAGGGAACACCAGUGGCGAAGGGCGGUUGCCUGGAGCUUUGCUGACGCUGAGGCGGCG